GACGAACGCUGGCGGCGUGCCUAAUACAUGCAAGUCGAACGAACUCUGGUAUUGAUUGGUGCUUGCAUCAUGAUUUACAUUUGAGUGAGUGGCGAACUGGUGAGUAACACGUGGGAAACCUGCCCAGAAGCGGGGGAUAACACCUGGAAACAGAUGCUAAUACCGCAUAACAACUUGGACCGCAUGGUCCGAGNUUGAAAGAUGGCUUCGGCUAUCACUUUUGGAUGGUCCCGCGGCGUAUUAGCUAGAUGGUGNGGUAACGGCUCACCAUGGCAAUGAUACGUAGCCGACCUGAGAGGGUAAUCGGCCACAUUGGGACUGAGACACGGCCCAAACUCCUACGGGAGGCAGCAGUAGGGAAUCUUCCACAAUGGACGAAAGUCUGAUGGAGCAACGCCGCGUGAGUGAAGAAGGGUUUCGGCUCGUAAAACUCUGUUGUUAAAGAAGAACAUAUCUGAGAGUAACUGUUCAGGUAUUGACGGUAUUUAACCAGAAAGNCACGGCUAACUACGUGCCAGCAGCCGCGGUAAUACGUAGGUGGCAAGCGUUGUCCGGAUUUAUUGGGCGUAAAGCGAGCGCAGGCGGUUUUUUAAGUCUGAUGUGAAAGCCUUCGGCUCAACCGAAGAAGUGCAUCGGAAACUGGGAAACUUGAGUGCAGAAGAGGACAGUGGAACUCCAUGUGUAGCGGUGAAAUGCGUAGAUAUAUGGAAGAACACCAGUGGCGAAGGCGGCUGUCUGGUCUGUAACUGACGCUGAGGCUCGAAAGUAUGGGUAGCAAACAGGAUUAGAUACCCUGGUAGUCCAUACCGUAAACGAUGAAUGCUAAGUGUUGGAGGGUUUCCGCCCUUCAGUGCUGCAGCUAACGCAUUAAGCAUUCCGCCUGGGGAGUACGGCCGCAAGGCUGAAACUCAAAGGAAUUGACGGGGGCCCGCACAAGCGGUGGAGCAUGUGGUUUAAUUCGAAGCUACGCGAAGAACCUUACCAGGUCUUGACAUACUAUGCAAAUCUAAGAGAUUAGACGUUCCCUUCGGGGACAUGGAUACAGGUGGUGCAUGGUUGUCGUCAGCUCGUGUCGUGAGAUGUUGGGUUAAGUCCCGCAACGAGCGCAACCCUUAUUAUCAGUUGCCAGCAUUAAGUUGGGCACUCUGGUGAGACUGCCGGUGACAAACCGGAGGAAGGUGGGGAUGACGUCAAAUCAUCAUGCCCCUUAUGACCUGGGCUACACACGUGCUACAAUGGAUGGUACAACGAGUUGCGAACUCGCGAGAGUAAGCUAAUCUCUUAAAGCCAUUCUCAGUUCGGAUUGUAGGCUGCAACUCGCCUACAUGAAGUCGGAAUCGCUAGUAAUCGCGGAUCAGCAUGCCGCGGUGAAUACGUUCCCGGGCCUUGUACACACCGCCCGUCACACCAUGAGAGUUUGUAACACCCAAAGUCGGUGGGGUAACCUUUUAGGAACCAGCCGCCUAAGGUGGGACAGAUGAUUAGGGUGAAG
rnacentral:rRNA from 1 species